CCACCGCGCUCGCCUCCACCCCCCUCGACCCCUCCCUGCCGCUCCACCUCUCGCCGCCGAGCCCCCUCCCGGUCCCGGGGCUCCCCUCCGCGCACGCCUCCUCCCCCAAGGCGCUCUUCCGCCUCCUGCGCCGCGCGCGGCACCACCCGCGCCUACCGCCGCUCGACCUCCAACUUCAACUCGCGGCAACCGACGCCUCCUCUGCCUUCCGCGCCGACCACCGCCUCAGGAGCCUCCUCAGGCAGGACCAUUGUCCCGGCUCCCCUCUUCGUUCGGCCCGGCGGACAGGCUCCCGUCAGACGCCUCUUCGGCAGGACCGGUGGCCCGGCUCUCAUCUGCAUUCGGCACGGCGGCCGAGACCUCAUUUUACGGCCCUCCGGCAGGACCCCGUUUGCAGGAAACCAUCCGGCUGAUGUCCAGUCUGAUUCCACUGCCAAUUGUGAAGCAAGGAAGCUCCUGAUGACAAGUCGAUGAGAAACCAUUGGAUAGGUUUAGUAUCUUAUUGGAAUUGCUGAUUUUCUUGAUAUAACAUGCACAUAUGCAUGGGUAUGGUACUGCUAUCGCGCAGACUAUGGAGAACAGUCCAUGAUUCAGGUUGACUUAUUCAUGAACGAUUUUUUCCCGGUUUAUACCAGUUGCGAGCACCAUCGAUACACACCUAUCCAGCCAGACGGGCAAUGCUCAGUUGUGUUUUCAUAUAAGUAUUUUCCCUGCUAUGAUCAAAUACUAACGCUGGUGGAAGUUGUGAGAUUUCCUCGCAGUGUGCAAGAUGAACCUCUCUAUCAGUGGCGGCAAUGUUCCCGUCAGCAAGGUACAUGGGAUCCCAUAAGGCAUGAUUCUUUCCCUAUUUUCUUUUACAUUAUCAAAUCUAAAUGUCACUUGACCUUGAAUCAGUAAUUAACUAUCCAUCACAUAUUAGGAUUGAAGUAUCUGUUCUGCUAUAAUUCAUUCAGAUAUGUGUACUGGCUUUUGUUUCAGAGAAGUUUUGCUCUACUUCCACCAGCAGUCCAUUGGUGGAUCUCUUUGUGGCUAUUAUCUAUCAGCCUGCCAAUAUUGUAUUUGUUUAGCAAUUGUAGACUGCAGGAUGGGUGAAGCAGAAGCUUAAUUAAGUUGAGGAAUGGCAUCCAAGAUUUACCCCCUUCACGGUCAGAGCCCUUCACAUACAACUUGGGGUGUCAGCUCUGUUUACUGGUAUUGAAGUAGUCUGCCUUUGUUGACAUAGCUGGAGAGCAUGAAUGCAGAAGUGGAGAAAGUUUAAGCUGAUACAGGAGUCCUAAAAAAGAUUCUAGAAGUAACUGUUUUGACUUUCGUCAUAAUUCUAGCAGAUGAACCCCUAUUGUACUAUGUGUUUCUAUCCAACCCGUAAGUAGUACGCAUGGACACACCUAAAAUGAAAUUUGGCUUUAUGCCAAAUGAAACAAAUCACCUUGGGUCUGGAAGAUACCUGUACUUGAUGCUCAUGUGUGAUAUUUGUUGUCUCAUGAGAUACUUGGUUAUUUGUAAUUACCAAAUAUCACUGGUGAUGGGUCAUGUAGUCUAGGCCUUGAUAGAAAAUGAUCUGUGAUCGUUUUGCAUAACAGUGAUUUUUUUUUAUCAUUUAUGGUUAUAUGUAGAUCAUAUAGGGUAAGGUUCUCGGAAGUAUGUGUACAGUUAGCAGCUUAUGUGUGAUCACCUACCAAAUUUCUGGUAAAUAAUAAAUGGAAUCGAUAAUAUUAUAUCA